UAUGCCUCAAUCUCAGGUAUGGUAGACACCUGUGUUUGGACAUGGCGUCUAAAAAAAGGCAUACAGAGUCUGGGCGAAAAAGACAGAAAAAGAAGAGACAGCGAGAUGAUGCUCGCGCGUGGGACAGUGAUGGGAAAGUGGAGAAAAGUGGAGAAGCAAUCACCUGGUGAUAGUUGUGGGCAUUGGGUGCGAGUCGUAUCAAGUCUCUACUGGGGUGACCUAUGAUGUCCUUCCAAUGCCGUGGAACCAUGAGCAGUGGAACCAGAACUGCAGUCCAACUUGGAGUUAUUUUUCACAGAGGUUGAGUUAAAG